AAGCUCAUUAUAUAACUUCUUAACAUAGCCAUCAUACACAAAUGCACAUGUUUGCACCUGUGUUACACCUGCUUGCUGUAUGUUUUGCAUACUGCAGCAGCUAGGGUUUUGGAAGAAGAUUGUGUCAGUCAUCGCGUAAAGCCGGGCAAACGAUUGUGUAGCCCUGAAAAGGGCUGUUUGGUUGCUUCUCGUGCAGAGGUGGUUAGAGGUGUGAGAUGCGUUUGAUGAGACGAGCGAAAAUGAAUUCCGGCACCGCUUCGGUCUGUCCAAACGAAGUGCAUUGGCUGUGCGGUGAACUAAGCACCAUUCAUGGAUGCUGUUGGGUCAGUGGAUUUUCAACAGAGAGGAAAUUGUUGCACACACUGAAACUCUUUACGAACAGAAGCUUCCAGCCAAAAGUCGGUAGCAGGAAAUUCAUAGAUGAUAAUGGCAACACAUUUCUUGGUUUCCAGCUCAUGCCGCAGCUGCGAGAUGUGGGCAACUGGCAGGCAGAGGCGCUGGAGUUACUAGCCGCAAACACCAGGCGGCAGGGCCAGGCAUCAUUGGAAAGCUGCCGACUGCCAGGUUCAACUUCUCGGUGACGUGGCCCAUGAGCUGCAAGGCGUUGGUACCCUCGCCCGGGCCCUCAUUGCAGCGGAAGCCACCUGCACAGUGAUUUGUAAAGACUAGUUGUACAUAUAUGUAGAUUUAUUUUUGUUCACAUAACGAGCUGUGAUACACUGGUUUGCCUCAUUGGUGCCCUGCCAUUUUUUUUCACUUAAUUUUAUUUUUCUGCAUAUCAUAAGCACUGAUGUGCUGUUUCAUUGUACAUAGCACAGUGUAGCUCAAUGGUAAAUCGUGUCCUGCGAUGUCAUUGUCCCUUUAAUAUCAUCAUGCGAGGUGGUGCAUUCAGCAGUUUUGUAGCACAUGUGCAUAGCACACUGUAGUGUAUCUUUAUGUUUAUAGUGUAUACGUGUAGAAUAUUGUGGCACACUGUACGUUUUCUAUCGAUUUUUACACAUCCUAGAAAAAAAGAAAAGCGUUUGUGGAUGGUCUAGGUUGCACAACAAGUUUGAAAUAUUGCAAGACCAAAAAAUAGUUGACGAACACGUGUUCUGUUGCUUAGAAGUGUUUAGACAACAGGAUUGGGUACAAACAGAAGUGAAUAAUAGAGCAAGACAUAUCAGCAACCAACAACUUGCAUUUUUUAGAGAGUUCGAAUAAUACAGGUUCGACUGUGCCUUGUCUUCAUGUACUACAAUGACUUUUGUGCUGCGAGACGCGUGUGUUGAUGCAGAGGAGCAGCAGGCACUUUCUAACAACUCCAUUUGUAUAUUAUAAAAGGAAGCUACUUUUAUAUUCUUUUCCUUGGCAUUUAAUUUAAGGGAUAUUUAUUUAUUUUGCUUUUUAUGUGCAUUGCUUGCGAUACUUGUAAUAAAAUUUCACUUCUGACACCACC